rnacentral:rRNA from 1 species
UCUGACGAGGAAGUAACGUUCCUUUUCCUUCGGGACAGAGGAGACAGGUGGUGCAUGGUUGUCGUCAGCUCGUGUCGUGAGAUGUUGGGUUAAGUCCCGCAACGAGCGCAACCCUUACCUUCAGUAGCCAGCGAGUAAAGUCGGGCACUCUGGAGGGACUGCCAGGGAUAACCUGGAGGAAGGUGGGGAUGACGUCAAAUCAUCAUGCCCCUUAUGAUUUGGGCUACACACGUGCUACAAUGGCGUAAACAAAGGGAAGCGAAGCCGUGAGGUGAAGCAAAUCCCAAAAAUAACGUCUCAGUUCGGAUUGUAGUCUGCAACUCGACUACAUGAAGCUGGAAUCGCUAGUAAUCGCGAAUCAGAAUGUCGCGGUGAAUACGUUCCCGGGUCUUGUACACACCGCCCGUCACACCAUGGGAGUUGGUAACGCCCGAAGUCAGUGACUCAACCGAAAGGGGAGAGCUGCCGAAGGCGGGACUGAUAACUGGGGUGAAGUCGUAACAAGGUAGCCGUAUCGGAAGG